GAUGAACGCUGGCGGCAUGCCUAAUACAUGCAAGUCGAGCGAACAGAUGCAGUGCUUGCACUUCUGACGUUAGCGGCGAACGGGUGAGUAACACGUAAGGAAUCUACCUAUAAGCGGGGGAUAACAUUCGGAAACGGGUGCUAAUACCGCAUAAUAUCUUCUUCCGCAUGGAAGAAGAUUGAAAGACGGCUCUGCUGUCACUUAUAGAUGACCUUGCGGUGCAUUAGUUAGUUGGUGGGGUAACGGCGUACCAAGACGAUGAUGAAUAGCCGUCCUGAGAGGGUGUACGGCCACAUUGGGACUGAGACACGGCCCAAACUUCGACGGGGAUCAGCAGUAGGGAAGCUUCCGCAGUGGGCGAAAGCCUGACGGAGCAAUGCCGCGUGAGUGAAGAAGGCCUUCGGGUCGUAAAACUCUGUUAUAAGAGAAUAACAAAUUGUAGAGUAACUGCUACAGUCUUGACGGUAUCUUAUCAUAAAGCCACGGCUAACUACGUGCCAGCCGCCGCCGUAA
rnacentral:rRNA from 1 species